CGAGUAACGUCAUGGAAUUGUCUGUGAUUGCGAAUGUUAAAAGGACUUCCGCAGAAUGUGAAGAUGAUGUCUCCUCAGAGUAUGGUGGCCUUUUAGUAGUAGCGUUGGGCGUUACCAUGUUUAUCGUGCUUAUCCUGAUGUCUGCAAUCCUGGCUGUCCGCCUGUCUAGAAGAAGGUACUCUCCGAAAAACAAAGAAACUGAAUAAAAUCAAUGAAAAGAAAUUGCAAGCAAAGACCGAAAAUAAUGCUACAGAAGAAAACAAAUUAUUGAAUUAAAUGUAAAAAUAAUAUUGACAGAGAAUUUCUAAUUUUAUUGUGAUUCAAUUGGGUCUUAAUUAUGUAAAAUAUGACUAAUAUUGAUUGUAUUACUAACAAAUGGCACUGCACAAUUCUCUGUUCAAUUGAUAUCUAGAAAGUAGGUAACACAUUCCAGUAAAGAAGAGCAUGGAAUUUCUGAAUAUUGUAUUUGCUAAGUAACCCGCAAGUAGCACGCUAUAGUGCACAAAUAAAACAAUAUAUAUCCGUUUGCAAAGCUGAAAACAUUACGGACUGUCCUUCAACGUUGCUGCAGUAUAAUUCGAGACAAUUCAUGCCGUCUUUCUCAGACGUCAAUCAACUUGUCAAGACCUAUGUGUGUGACAUGGGGAUAGUAAAAAUCAAUCUGCCUCAUAAAUUCGCAUGUAAACUGGAAGUAAGCAGUGUCUUAUAUGACCAUUAGACAGCGAAGCGGAAUUAGGUCAUUUGGUCUUUGGAGUCUGCUCCACUAUUAAAUCAUGGCUGAUAUUUUAUCCCUCUCAGCCCCUUUCACCUGCCUUCGCCCUCUAACCUUUGAAGCAUUCAGCAUACACAAUGCCCUCAGUGACAUUGAGUUCUAUAAAUUUACCAUCCUCUGGUUAAAGAAAUCUCUACUCAUAUCCUUUUUAAAUGGAGAUAUUUCUAUUCUGAAGCUCGACACUUUGGUCUUAGACUUUCCCAUCACUGGAAUCACCCGCUUCACUUCCAUUCUAUAUAGUUAUUUCAAUAUUCCAAAUAACGUGGCCUCCAUCGCCGCCUGUGGCAACGGAUUCCACGGAUUCACCACCCUCUGGAUAAAGAAAUUCCUCCUUUUUGCUCUGUUUGAAUAGGAUUUUCCUCUAUUUUUGAGUCUGUGCCUCCUUCUCCUAGACUGACCCACAAUAGAAAACAUUGUCUGGCAAAUAUCCGCCAAGCUUUCUGACAUAUAUCCCAGAGAAGGAACAUAACACACACUGACUGCAUUGGGGUUUCACGAUACAGGAUGUUGGAAAGCAUGCAAAGAGGCAAAUACCACUCCAACUUACGCAAGACAGGAACCAAUCCCAAUAACAUCCUUGUUCCCAGAUCCACAUCCCCUUACGCGUCAUUACGGGGAGGUAUGAUUUGCAAAACGUUAAUUUGCACGUGUUUUCGAUUACUUCUGUCAAUGAUAUGUAAGCUUAUUUUUGUUUGAAUUGAUGCGUACUUGUACUUUCAUAUGGAAUAAACUGUCCAACAGUUAUGGUA